rnacentral:lncRNA from 1 species
GGACUUGUUCUUUGACUCCUUUGUCUUUGCAAGGCCCUUGGGUGGUGAGACCCCCACGGUGUGCCUAGAAACCUUUCAAACUUGAUGGAAACUAUAAACUCACCAAUCACAGGAAACUGUAAACCACAGCAAACCUCAAGCAGAGUCAGGAAAAAAUCACACCAAGACAUGUAAUAAUUAGGUCGACAGAGAUGAGAAAUGGAGAGAGACUCGGAGACGCACAGAGGGAAGAGGCAGGUUCACACAGAGCAACGGAACAUGCCCGCAGACGCCAGGGGGGCUGGAAGUCAGGGGCACAACCUGGGGACACCGAGCCAAAAACAAGACAAAGAGCCUGGCGACCUAAAUGUCCAUGCCCAGGAAGAACGUUCUAAAGAGCAAAGGCAGUUUUUGUGUGGUGCCAAGUAUUAGUGAUAAAGCCGUAAUUUUAAAAAGCUAUUUUGAAAAAUGAAGAUAGCCUGGGGUGGACCUCAGCGGUAGAGCGCUCGCCCCGCAUGCACACGGCACCGCAAAAUCGAUAAUUAAGCGAAUAAGGGUACGUUUCGACCUCUGCCUGAGAAGAAGCAAGAGGAACAGGUUUCCCUCCACCUGAGACAACUGAAAACUGGAACAGAACAUUCGGAGGGCAGGACACCCGAGAGCCCAGGAUGCCGUCCUAGGAAGUGGACACGGAGGACCGGAGCCCGCACAUGACCCCUGGAAGCUCCAGACCGCGGCUCAGGGGAAGGAAACGGAAGCAAGGACUGGUAACAUGGGUCAUUUCAGCACGACUAAAAGCCCUGGCUCUUCAGAAGAUGCUGCUGGGAGAAGGAGCCGGAAAACCGCUGGCCACUGAAGAUCCUUACAAAACACAUGCAGCCAAAGACUGGUGUCUGAAAAAUAUAAAUAACUCACAGCAACAGAAGGGUCAGCAUCCUCAUUUUCUAAAAUUAGCAAAAGACUUGAUCAGAGACCACCGGAUCAAGCCAGCUCAUCCAAACGUACCUAGCGUUUUGGUCCCUGGGGUAGGGCACAUGAAGCCCACCGAGAGGCGCCACUGUGCAGCCGUGGAGUGGCCAGCAACCGGAGACGCACAGUGUGCACUGGGCUGAGGGGCGGGCAGCCGAAGGUCUCUGGGCGCUGCUGGCGUGCAAACCGGCAGGCCCACUUUGGGAAGCCGAGUGGCCAUUUCUUACAGAGUGAAGCACACGCGCCCCUGAACCCCGGUCAUCCUGGACGCACCUCUUUAUUGAAAAGAAUGACGACGUGACCACCCAAAGACUUGCGUCUGAAAGUUCAAAGCAGCAGGAGCCAAAACUGGACACAGCCCAAAUGUCCGUCAACAGGGAGGGCACAACUCAGGAACAAGCCCACGCUCCUGGGGACACAACAAGGUGCUUGUGGUUGAUUCUCAGGAGUAUCGUGCUACCUGGGCGUGGUGGCACACGCCUGUGCUUUCCAGCUACGGGAGGCUGAGGGAGGGGGAUGGCUUCAUCCCAGGAGUUGAAGGGCAACAAAGUG